GGGGAAUUCAGGAUCUCGUAAUAGAAUACGGAGAAGUUAAGGGCCAGCCCUAGCCGAAUUGGAUGAGUCGGAGCUAGGUCAGCAAGAGCAAUAUCCUGGGCCGACUUGUAUGCCAAAAGUGUAUUCUCGGCAGCCUCCUUCCUCUCCACCCCCGUCUUGAACUCAGCAAGAUACCUGUGAUAAUCACCCUUCAUCUUAAGGUAGAAGACCUUCGACUCAGCAGUAGCGGCAGACGGGACAAGGUGGGAGUCUAGCAGUUUAAGGAUCCCGUCGCAUAUCUUGCUGAGCUCAGCCUCGAUCUUACCACGAUAGUCCUUAAUCAAAACCACAUGGUCCUCAUUCCCACGGCUCUCCUCCUUCUGCUCAAUAGAGGAGAUGAUUCGCCACGAAGCCCGGCGGGCACCAAUAACAUUCUUAUACGCAACCGACAGCAAAUUGCGCUCCUCGACAGUGAGCUCCUCCCCAGCAUCCACUGUCUUAGCAACCUUCUCCAUGAACUCCACCAUCUCCUCAUACCGCUCAGCUUGCUCCGCAAGCUUCGCCAUGUACACACUCUCGUCCCGGGACGACUCCACCGGCGACAUCUUUCCUCUCUAGUUGAUUCUAGUUGAUUCUUGACGGUCGAAACCCUAGAAAUCUCGCGCUUCG
rnacentral:misc_RNA from 1 species